rnacentral:rRNA from 1 species
CUAGCCGUAAACGAUGGGUACUAGGUGUGGGAGGUAUCGACCCCUUCUGUGCCGUCGUUAACACAAUAAGUACCCCGCCUGGGGAGUACGGUCGCAAGACUAAAACUCAAAGGAAUUGACGGGGGCCCGCACAAGCAGCGGAGCAUGUGGUUUAAUUCGAAGCAACGCGAAGAACCUUACCUAGACUUGACAUCUCCUGAAUUACCCGUAAUGGGGGAAGCUCUUCGGAGCAGGAAGACAGGUGG